AAGUCGUAACAAGGUCUCCGUUGGUGAACCAGCGGAGGGAUCAUUACCGAGUUUACAACUCCCAAACCCCUGUGAACAUACCAUAUUGUUGCCUCGGCGGUGUCUGUUUCGGCAGCCCGCCAGAGGACCCAAACCCUAGAUUACAUUAAAGCAUUUUCUGAGUCAAUGAUUAAAUCAAUCAAAACUUUCAACAACGGAUCUCUUGGUUCUGGCAUCGAUGAAGAACGCAGCGAAAUGCGAUAAGUAAUGUGAAUUGCAGAAUUCAGUGAAUCAUCGAAUCUUUGAACGCACAUUGCGCCCGCCAGUAUUCUGGCGGGCAUGCCUGUCCGAGCGUCAUUUCAACCCUCAAGCCCCCGGGCUUGGUGUUGGAGAUCGGCGAGCCCCCCGGGGCGCGCCGUCUCCCAAAUAUAGUGGCGGUCCCGCUGUAGCUUCCUCUGCGUAGUAGCACACCUCGCRGCUGGGAAACAGCGUGGCCACGCCGUAAAACCCCCCACUUCUGAAAGGUUGACCUCGGAUCAGGUAGGAAUACCCGCUGAACUUAA
rnacentral:misc_RNA from 1 species